rnacentral:rRNA from 1 species
UACGUAGGGUGCGAGCGUUAAUCGGAAUUACUGGGCGUAAAGCGUGCGCAGGCGGUUUUGUAAGCCAGAUGUGAAAUCCCCGGGCUUAACCUGGGAAUGGCAUUUGGGACUGCAAGGCUGGAGUGUGGCAGAGGAGACUGGAAUUCCUGGUGUAGCAGUGAAAUGCGUAGAUAUCAGGAGGAACACCGAUGGCGAAGGCAGCUCGCUGGGACGGUACUGACGCUGAGACGCGAAAGCGUGGGGAGCAAACAGG